GCGGAAAUAGCUCAUUGGUCAGAGCGUUGGCAUUCCAGCCAGAGAGUGGGGUUCGAUUCCCUGUUUCCGCU
rnacentral:tRNA from 1 species